GGUUAAGUUAGAAAGGGCGCACGGUGGAUGCCUUGGCACUAGGAGCCGAAGAAGGACGGGACUAACACCGAUAUGCUUUGGGGAGCUGUACGUAAGCGUUGAUCCAGAGAUUUCCGAAUGGGGGAACCCACUAUCUUUAGUCGGAUAGUAUCCUUACGUGAAUACAUAGCGUGAGGAAGGCAGACCCAGGGAACUGAAACAUCUAAGUACCUGGAGGAAGAGAAAGAAAAAUCGAUUUCCUGAGUAGCGGCGAGCGAAACGGAAAGAGCCCAAACCAAGAAGCUUGCUUCUUGGGGUUGUAGGACACUCUAUACGGAGUUACAAAAGAAAGUUAUAAAUGAAGCGGUCUGGAAAGGCCCGCCAAAGACGGUAACAGCCCGGUAGUUGAAAUGGCUUUCCCUCCAGAGUGGAUCCUGAGUACGGCGGAACACGUGAAAUUCCGUCGGAAUCCGGGAGGACCAUCUCCCAAGGCUAAAUACUCCCUAGUGACCGAUAGUGAACCAGUACCGUGAGGGAAAGGUGAAAAGCACCCCGGAAGGGGAGUGAAACAGUUCCUGAAACCGUGUGCCUACAAGUAGUUAGAGCCCGUUAAUGGGUGAUAGCGUGCCUUUUGUAGAAUGAACCGGCGAGUUACGAUUUGUUGCAAGGUUAAGCGGAAAAAGCGGAGCCGUAGCGAAAGCGAGUCUGAAUAGGGCGCAUAAGUAACAGGUCGUAGACCCGAAACCAGGUGAUCUACCCAUGUCCAGGAUGAAGGUAAGGUAAUACUUACUGGAGGUCCGAACCCACGCACGUUGAAAAGUGCGGGGAUGAGGUGUGGGUAGCGGAGAAAUUCCAAUCGAACUUGGAGAUAGCUGGUUCUCUCCGAAAUAGCUUUAGGGCUAGCCUCGAGGUAAAGAGUCAUGGAGGUAGAGCACUGUUUGGACUAGGGGCCCUUCUCGGGUUACCGAAUUCAGAUAAACUCCGAAUGCCAUGUACUUAUACUCGGGAGUCAGACUGCGAGUGAUAAGAUCCGUAGUCGAAAGGGAAACAGCCCAGACCACCAGUUAAGGUCCCCAAAUAUAUGUUAAGUGGAAAAGGAUGUGGGGUUGCUUAGACAACCAGGAUGUUGGCUUAGAAGCAGCCACCAUUGAAAGAGUGCGUAAUAGCUCACUGGUCGAGUGACCCCGCGCCGAAAAUGUACCGGGGCUAAACAUAUUACCGAAACUGUGGAUGAACCUCUUUAGAGGUUCGUGGUAGGAGAGCGUUCUAAGGGCGGUGAAGUCAGACCGGAAGGACUGGUGGAGCGCUUAGAAGUGAGAAUGCCGGUAUGAGUAGCGAAAGAAGGGUGAGAAUCCCUUCCACCGAAUAUCUAAGGUUUCCUGAGGAAGGCUCGUCCGCUCAGGGUUAGUCGGGACCUAAGCCGAGGCCGAUAGGCGUAGGCGAUGGACAACAGGUAGAGAUUCCUGUACCAGUGCUAAUUGUUUAACCGAUGGGGUGACACAGAAGGAUAGGGAAUCGCACGAAUGGAAAUGUGCGUCCAAGCAGUGAGUGUGAGAAGUAGGCAAAUCCGCUUCUCGCGAAGCAUGAGCUGUGAUGGGGAAGGAAAUUAAGUACGGAAGUUCCUGAUUUCACGCUGUCAAGAAAAGCCUCUAGGAAGAGUAGUACUGCCCGUACCGCAAACCGACACAGGUAGAUGAGGAGAGAAUCCUAAGGUGAGCGAGAGAACUCUCGUUAAGGAACUCGGCAAAAUGACCCCGUAACUUCGGGAGAAGGGGUGCUCUAUUAGGGUGCAAGCCCGAGAGAGCCGCAGUGAAUAGGCCCAGGCGACUGUUUAGCAAAAACACAGGUCUCUGCAAAACCGUAAGGUGACGUAUAGGGGCUGACGCCUGCCCGGUGCUGGAAGGUUAAGAGGAGUGCUUAGCUUCGGCGAAGGUACGAAUUGAAGCCCCAGUAAACGGCGGCCGUAACUAUAACGGUCCUAAGGUAGCGAAAUUCCUUGUCGGGUAAGUUCCGACCCGCACGAAAGGCGCAACGAUCUGGGCACUGUCUCAACGAGAGACUCGGUGAAAUUAUAGUACCUGUGAAGAUGCAGGUUACCCGCGACAGGACGGAAAGACCCCGUGGAGCUUUACUGCAACCUGAUAUGGAAUGUUUGUACCGCUUGUACAGGAUAGGUAGGAGCCGAAGAGACGUGUGCGCUAGCAUACGAG
rnacentral:rRNA from 1 species